ACGCACGCUGGCGGCGUGCCUAAUACAUGCAAGUCGAGCGGACCAAACAGGAGCUUGCUCUUGUUUGGUUAGCGGCGGACGGGUGAGUAACACGUGGGUAACCUGCCCGUAAGACCGGGAUAACUCCGGGAAACCGGAGCUAAUACCGGAUAACACCGAAGACCGCAUGGUCUUUGGUUGAAAGGCGGCUUCGGCUGCCACUUACGGAUGGGCCCGCGGCGCAUUAGCUAGUUGGUGAGGUAACGGCUCACCAAGGCGACGAUGCGUAGCCGGCCUGAGAGGGUGACCGGCCACACUGGGACUGAGACACGGCCCAGACUCCUACGGGAGGCAGCAGUAGGGAAUCUUCCGCAAUGGACGAAAGUCUGACGGAGCGACGCCGCGUGAGCGAAGAAGGUCUUCGGAUCGUAAAGCUCUGUUGUUAGGGAAGAAGAAGCGCCGUUCGAACAGGGCGGCGCGGUGACGGUACCUAACGAGAAAGCCCCGGCUAACUACGUG
rnacentral:rRNA from 1 species